rnacentral:lncRNA from 1 species
GCUGCCUCGUCAACGCUUCGACUACGAUGAUGGAUUCAGGUAGGUGUUAUUUUUUGUCUUCUUUAUGUUGUCUAGUACUUUUUUCAAUUGUAUGGUCAAUGGAAAAUCAUCAUGGUCAAGAUAAAGAGAGAGAGAGAGAGACCAGAGCGUGGCAUUUGUAAUGAUUUGCACAGAUUUCAUUUUAGAGUUUUGUACUUAAAAAAAGAGUUGUAAUUCCAUUACCACCAAAUUAUGGGUCCUCUUGAGCUUAUUGUUCCUUCAACCUGUACGGUCUUUAACCUUACAACCUGUUUGGGUGUUUUUGUGUAAUUACUACACAUAGUUUCCUAUGUUUUUUUAGGUGGUAUGUGCAAAAUAUGCAAAAUAUGACUUGAGUCUGGAUAGUUCUCAGAUUGAAAGGAGAGCACUGAACUACUCCCUCCGUCCCAUAAUGUAAGACGUUUUUUGACACUACACUAGUGUCAAAAAACGUCUUACAUUAUGGGACGGAGGGAGUACUUAGUAAAUGACUAUCUGAACAUUAGGGUUCAUGGGUGUCCGCUGAAGGUUGUUGUUAACUUCCAUCAAAGCUUUCCGCUUCAUUGUUAGUUUCUUCCAUCUUUUUUGUUCAAUUUUUAUCUUAUAUGCUAAUUUUCCUUUGUGUUACUUGUUAGGAGACAUUUUCUGGUUGUCGAAAGGAAUUGUUUAGUUACCAUGAACAAGAGACUUCCACAACUAUCACAAGCUGUCCACCAAGAAAAAUAGGAGAAUUUCUUGGAGAAAUUUCCGGUAGUAUCUUAUUUAUUUGGACAAUUAGGAGGUACUAUAAGUUUCUCAUGCUUUUUCGGCAAUGUGCAGGACUUUCUAGAAGUGGCUUCUUAACCAAUGAUGUAUUAUUCUUUUAAAAGGCCGCCAACAGUGGCGACGAGGGGAUGUCAGAUGCAGAGGCUCUUGACCAGGGUUUGGUUGGGCCUUUGGAGCCGCCCUAUGUUGUGUGUGCUCUUUUUUUUGAGAAUUUUUCUUCUCCCUCCCUAGCUAGAAAAUUGCUAAACACUGCAGUUGAGUAUGUAAAUUGUGCAUGAAUAUGUAAAUUUGCUUCUUCUCAGAUGCAUGUACGCCUCACCUAGUACAGCUCGUGCUAAUUAGUUCUCUGACUACGUGCUAUUAGCAGCAGCAGAUGCUUUAGAUGAUGUGAAUCAACCUUGUAGAUAUGUGUUGUUUUCAUAGCUUGCUAGUAGCAGGAGAAAUAUACGUGCGAUUUCUGUUGAAUUUUGGAAUGUUUGAGAUGUCUUUUUAAUUGUGUGAAUGACACUGACAAACUACUCGUAUUCUGAAAAUGUCUGAC